rnacentral:misc_RNA from 1 species
GAACUGCGAUAAGUAAUGUGAAUUGCAGAAUUCAGUGAAUCAUCGAGUCUUUGAACGCACAUUGCGCCCCCUGGCAUUCCGGGGGGCAUGCCUGUCCGAGCGUCAUUGCUGCCCUCAAGCCCGGCUUGUGUGUUGGGUCGUCGUCCCCCCCGGGGGACGGGCCCGAAAGGCAGCGGCGGCACCGUGUCCGGUCCUCGAGCGUAUGGGGCUUUGUCACCCGCUCGAUUAGGGCCGGCCGGGCGCCAGCCGGCGUCUCCAACCUUAUUUUUCUCAGGUUGACCGCGGGUAAGGUAGGGAUACCCUCUGAACUUAAGC